AAAGUUUGUACACGAGUAAUGAUGAAGAGAGAAAAAAAUCUCUAACGCAAAAUGGGUUGGUGGAUCCGACGAUUAUACGCAAUCGAGUCUAUGUUUGAAAGUGGAUAAACAAAUGAUAUUUAGGGUGAGUCCUCCUAAUUAAUCCAUUUUAGUUAAACCAAACAUCACAUCAUGAUCAUAACAUGUGUUAUAGUAGUGUUCUUAAUAUGACCAAAAUGCUAAUAUUUUUCUUGUCAUUAUUGGAAUUAGGAAGCUAAAAUGGUAUCUUGUGAUAAAAUAGAAUGUUUAAUUGGGUGGCAGUCUAAUCCAUAGUUACCUAAAUCGCCAGGGAACCCACGAUCCACGUAUUGGAUCGUGGUGUACCCAAUCGGAAUUCGUUUGCGUGCCGGAACGGCAUGGUCCGGCGAACCGACUUGCGGCGGUACGGUGUUCCUGUUUACGGAGGUACGGCGAUCCAAAUUGAUCCGGUUCAGCGAACCAAAUAGACGAUCUCGAUGUUCCAAAACGCCUUCCAUUGAUUUGUAAAACGCAAACUGGAAUUAUGUAUUAGGGUUCCGAUCAACGUCCAGGAAGAAGGGGAAGAAGAAAGCGGGCUGCGUAGUUUCUCUUUAGGGCUUAAAUUUGUUUAGUUAUUUCAACAUUAACCCCUAUAUUUUUAUUAGUUUACAUUUAAACCCUAAACUUGUAGUUUUUUACAUAAAAAGUGUAAAAGUAGUUUGUGUAUUUAAACAUUUAACCCUUUCUAUCUUCACUAGUUUACAUUUGGUUCUUAAACUUAUAAACUUAUACAUAAAAAGUAUAAAUUAACAUUAUAUAUAUAACAUUUAACCAAAUUACAUCAUCAAUUUCUACUCCUAUUGAAUUUCAAUUUUUAUCUUCAACCUUCAAUGUUUAUGUUUGCAAGCUGUUAG
rnacentral:lncRNA from 1 species